UAACCUGCCUGUAAGACUGGGAUAACUCCGGGAAACCGGAGCUAAUACCGGAUAGUUCCUUGAACCGCAUGGUUCAAGGAUGAAAGACGGUUUCGGCUGUCACUUACAGAUGGACCCGCGGCGCAUUAGCUAGUUGGUGAGGUAACGGCUCACCAAGGCGACGAUGCGUAGCCGACCUGAGAGGGUGAUCGGCCACACUGGGACUGAGACACGGCCCAGACUCCUACGGGAGGCAGCAGUGGUCAUAGCUU
rnacentral:rRNA from 1 species